rnacentral:rRNA from 1 species
UGGGGCCUCUUGGACAAUUUUCUCAAGCCUGCUCCCUCAAUGCCGCGUGUGUGAAGAAGGUCAUCGGAUUGUAAAUCUUUAUAAGUUGGGAGGAAGGGCAUUAACCUAAUACGUUAGUGUUUUGACGUUACCGACAGAAUAAGCACCGGCUAACUCUGUGCCAGCAGCCGCGGUAAUACAGAGGGUGCAAGUGUUAAUCGGAAUUACUGGGCGUAAAGCGCGCGUAGGUGGUUUGUUAAGUUGGAUGUGAAAUCCCCGGGCUCAACCUGGGAACUGCAUUCAAAACUGACUGACUAGAGUAUGGUAGAGGGUGGUGGAAUUUCCUGUGUAGCGGUGAAAUGCGUAGAUAUAGGAAGGAACACCAGUGGCGAAGGCGACCACCUGGACUAAUACUGACACUGAGGUGCGAAAGCGUGGGGAGCAAACA